rnacentral:rRNA from 1 species
GACGAACGCUGGCGGCGUGCUUAACACAUGCAAGUCGAACGGAAAGGCCCUGCUUUUGUGGGGUGCUCGAGUGGCGCACGGGUGAGUAACACGUGAGUAACCUGCCCUUGACUUUGGGAUAACUUCAGGAAACUGGGGCUAAUACCGGGUAGGAGCUCCUGAUGCAUGGUGGGGGUUGGAAAGUUUCGGCGGUUGGGGAUGGACUCGCGGCUUAUCAGCUUGUUGGUGGGGUAGUGGCUUACCAAGGUUUUGACGGGUAGCCGGCCUGAGAGGGUGACCGGCCACAUUGGGACUGAGGUACGGCCCAGAAUCCUACGGGAGGCAGCAGGGGGGAAUAUUGCACAAUGGGCGGAAGCCUGAUGCAGCAACGCCGCGUGCGGGAUGACGGCCUUCGGGUUGUAAACCGCUUUCGCCUGUGACGAAGCGUGAGUGACGGUAAUGGGUAAAGAAGCACCGGCUAACUACGUG